GGCUCGGUAGCUUAGUUGGUAAAGCGCUCGUCUGGCAUACAAAACUCUUGGGUUCAAAUCCCAGCAAACCA
rnacentral:tRNA from 1 species